rnacentral:rRNA from 1 species
CCUACGGGUGGCAGCAGUGAGGAAUAUUGGUCAAUGGCCGGAAGCCUGAACCAGCCAAGCAGCGUGCAGGACGAAGGUCCCACGCAUCGUAAACUUCUUUUGUCAAGGGACAACAUCAGCCUCGAGAGCCUGACCGCGGGUACUUGAAGAAAAAGCAUCGGCUAACUCCGUGCCAGCAGCCGCGGUAAUACGGAGGGGGCGAGCGUUAUCCGGAUUUAUUGGGUUUAAAGGGAGCGUAGGUGGAUGGUUAAGUCAGUUGUUAAAGUCUGCGGAUCAACCGUAGAAUUGCAGUUGAAACUGGCAGUCUUGAGUACAGUAGAGGUGGGCGGAAUUCGUGGUGUAGCGGUGAAAUGCUUAGAUAUCACGAAGAACUCCGAUUGCGAAGGCAGCUCACUGGACUGCAACUGACACUGAGGCUCGAAAGUGUGGGUAUCAAACAGGAUUAGAUACCCUAGUAGUC